CAUGUAGGCGGAUUAAUAAGUUUGAAGUGAAAUCCUAUAGCUUAACUAUAGAACUGCUUUGAAAACUGUUAAUCUAGAAUGUGGGAGAGGUAGAUGGAAUUUCUGGUGUAGGGGUAAAAUCCGUAGAGAUCAGAAGGAAUACCGAUUGCGAAGGCGAUCUACUGGAACAUUAUUGACGCUGAGACGCGAAAGCGUGGGGAGCAAACA
rnacentral:rRNA from 1 species